ensembl:lincRNA Gm26519 predicted gene, 26519
CAAGCUGACACAAACUAGGAGGCCACCUCACUGGGAAAUUACACCAAUCUGGCUGCCCUCUGAGCAAGCCCAUGAGGCAUCCUCUUGACUGUUAAUGGGAUAGGGGCCACAGCGGAUGCUGCCACUCCUUAGCGGUGGUCCAAGGUUCUAUUAGAAAUCAGGCUGAGCAGGUCAGUAAGCAGCACUCCUCUGUGGUUUCUGCCUCAGUUCCUGCCUCCAGGUUCCUGCCCUGCCUUCCAAGAUAAUGAACCUAUGAACUAAAAUAAGCUUUCUCCCCAAUUUGCUUUUGAUCCUGCUUUUGAUGACAGCAACAUAGAAGGAACUGAAACAGAGACCUUCCUCUGCUGUGCCCCGAAGACCCAGGAGAACACCACUCAUUGCAGUGGACCUCCGGAAGCUGCAGGUGUGACUGCAUGAGACCGGAAGCUGCAGGUGUGACUGCAUGAGACCGGAAGCUGCAGGUGUGACUGCAUGAGACCGGAAGCUGCAGGUGUGACUGCAUGAGACCGGAAGCUGCAGGUGUGACUGCAUGAGNNNNNNNNNNNNNNNNNNNNNNNNNNNNNNNAAGACAGCACCCAGGCUCAAGGGAGGUGUCUCCCUGUCUCCAGCCUCAAUGCAUAUGAAGAACCAGCCCUCCUUGUUUGAUAGCAGUCGGAUCAGAGGAGCUUUGGAGAUACCUAGCUACACCCUCUACCUGUAUGUAUAAGGCCAGACUUAGUCAAGAACACAAUCACAGUUGAUGCUAACCCAGGAUUCAGCACAUACCUAGAAUUUCCCUAGUAACACACACGCUUUGUUUAAUCCUCCACAAAAUUUAUUCUUUAAGAGGUAAACUUAGGGCUGGAGAGAUGGCACUGGCUGCUCUUCCAAAAGUCCUGAGUUCAAUUCCCAGCAACCACAUGGUGGCUCACUACCAUCUAUAAUGAGAUCCAAUGCCCUCUUCUGGUGUUACUCAUUUAUAUAAUAAAUAAAUUAAUUUUUAAAAAAAGAGGUAAACUUAGAUACAGGACACCUGUAUCUGUAUCUAGAUACAAGAAACCUGACAAGAACCAAUGAGCUCAUUAGCCAAAGCCCAGAGUAGCAACUUUGCUUCAGAGUCCAAGUGGCAUUUUGAAUUGUGCCUAAACCUCCAGAUUGGGAUUCUGAGUCCAAUUCUCAUGUCAAUAAAGAAAGCUGAAGAUAAUAUGGCGCUUCAAAGUCACAUGACUGCUAGGUUGGAAAGAGAUAAGAUCAAAGAGUCAUUCCAUACAUAGUAACGCUGUAGUAAAUACAAUUUCUAGCUCACAGUAAAUGUCUCUACUUUAUCAUCACUAAUUAGCCCCCCUUCUCUUUUUCCCUUCGGAACCUUAGUCUUUGUUUUUAAGAUCUAUUCUUUUGUUUUAAUUAUGUGUCUGUGCUGGGGGACUAAAGUUGGGUAUGGGUGGCUGUGAGCCACUCAGCAUGGCUGCUGGGAGCUGAACCGGGGUCCUCUGGGAGACACGCUCUAAUCACUGAACCAUCUCUCCAGUCUGCAGACCCCAAUCUCUUAUGUGUGUUCAUUUGGAACUCUCACAAGUUAAACUAUGACAGCUCAUGAGGGCAGAACUGGAGGCUAAAGUACUAGAGUGACCCCAGAAUAUACAAGACAGGGGUAUGGGUCCCCAGUCUCAAAUCUCAUUUCAUUCAUUCAUUCACUCAUUCAUUUAUUGCUUCCUGGGAACAAAACACUAAUUUUGAGACAUAUGCACCCAUGUGACUGCUGUGGUUUCCAGUCUCCUGAAACACACUUGCACAUCAUUCCUCCAGAGGAUGUCAGCGAUCUGCAGUUACGAAGCACUCACUCAUCUGCCCACCUCACAGGCCUCUGAACCAUCCCUGAGCUGCAGGAGGUUGAAGUGCCUCAGCUGGAGAGUGUUAAUAGAUCCUAUACUCUUAGAUACACCAACCAGAGACGUGGCAACCGUUACUUAUUUGAGUGGUUUGGGUAUUUUAGAACAGAAAUUGCUUGCUUGGGGUUGUUUUAUUUUUUUCCCUCCUGUAACCCGAAGAACAAACUGUUGUGUCCGCUUAUUACAUUGAUAAGUAAAUUAGAUGCAAGACUUUCACAUCUCAUAAUCAACUUCACCCAACAAUAAAUAUAAAAUUGUGAAAUUUCUACCACCC